UUGGGAAUAUUGGACAAUGGGGGAAACCCUGAUCCAGCCAUGCCGCGUGAGUGAUGAAGGCCUUCGGGUUGUAAAGCUCUUUUGGUGGGGACGAUAAUGACGGUACCCACAGAAUAAGCUCCGGCUAACUUCGUGCCAGCAGCCGCGGUAAUACGAAGGGAGCUAGCGUUGUUCGGAGUUACUGGGCGUAAAGGGCGCGUAGGCGGUUUGGUAAGUCAGAUGUGAAAGCCCUGGGCUCAACCCAGGAACUGCGUUUGAGACUGCCAUACUUGAAUUCGGGAGAGGUAAGUGGAAUUCCCAGUGUAGAGGUGAAAUUCGUAGAGAUUGGGAAGAACAUCCGUGGCGAAGGCGGCUUACUGGACCGACAUUGACGCUGAGGCGCGAAAGCGUGGGGAGCAAACAGG
rnacentral:rRNA from 1 species